rnacentral:lncRNA from 1 species
GUUUGGUGGUUUUGUUUUUUACAGAGUCCCUGUGAAGCAGGCAUAGUGAGAACAGGCUCACUGCAGCUCAGUAGUUCCUCCAUCAGGGAACUUCAUCUUUGAGGAGAACAAAGCGAAAAGCCCCUUCCCCACCCUCCAAAGCAGCCCAGCGUUCAAGUGAUGGAAAUGGCCGAGUGAUUGGUAAUGUUACUUUUCCCAUUAACACUAUCAUUUGUAUUAUGUUCUGCUUAAUACAAACAGAAAUGAUAUAUGUUUGUCUUUUUAUUAAAUAAUGACAUUUAGGAUUUAUAAAUAGUCCCUGAUUAUUCUCACUUGACUGCUUUCUAUGAAUCGGCAACACAAAAUAAAAUGACAAAAUUAUAUGGCUUCAUUAUCCUAAAAUGAGCAGAUUGUAAUUUGUAAACUUAUUUAGAAAACAUUGCCACUCCAGGAUUGACUUAUAUAGUAAGAGGAAUGAAUCUAAGUGGAAUUUUGUCAUUUCACAGUUGGGUAGUAAAAUGACUUUUAGCAAGGUUAAGGCUCAAUUAUUUCUGGAUUAUAUAAAAAAAGCUACAGUGAAGCUGUAUACAUAAAGCUGUAUACAUACAUAAAGGUGCUUUAUGUAUGAGGCUUAUUUAUAAGUUGUGUUGUUCCUUUCAGCCCUGCAGUUAGUAGAUGGGAUUCCUCCAGACAGUGCUUUGGAAACAAGCUCUCCUGAGGGGCCAUCCAGGAGAGUCAAGUACUGACCUUGACUCCACUCUGUGUCAGUACUCAAAAAGAAUUUCCAUGCCAGUUGAGGAAUGGAUUUAAUUAGAAUGCUCUAUGAAAGAGAUCCGAUUCUUUGACCUCAUUUCCCAAAUUUAUUUCGUGAAAUGAAUUCUCCUUCCCUUACUCCCCCCAGGAGUAGAGAUUAGAGUCUGAAACUGGCACAAAAUCAACAUUUCAGUUCUGGAAUUAUACCUGGAGGACUUUCCCUGUUUGGUCUCUUGUUUUUCCUUAUUCAAUGUCAGGUCGACAUUUGUUAACCUCCUUCCCAAGAGUACUGACACAUCAUAGUUAGAAACAUUUAGUAUGUUUGGGGAAAAUUUUACAUUAAAAUAUAAGCAUAGUUUCUUUAAGCAAUGCUUCUAGGUAUGAAUUCAAUGACCAGGUAUCCUACAGUCAUGGUAAAAAUUUGUUACCCUGAAAAUACUUUCUAUUAUAUAACUUGCAUUAUCAGUUCUCCUCAAAUAAGUAACUGAACUAAAUUUUAUUAAAAGUAUGUACACUAUGAUUAAAUUUUAUGUGUAUUUUGACUUAUAUGUUCAAUUAUCAAUAUUAAAUUUGCAUAUAUAUUGGUAUAUAUUGUAUAUGGGAUAUAUUCUUCAUCCCCAUGUUUACCAAAGUUGUAAUCACAUGACUCACAUUUUACUUAUGCCUGUAUCAACAUGUGGUUUUAUAUAUGCUUUCAUACAUAAUUUCACAGUAUAUUCUUAUGAAUAUUGAUAUUUCCCAAUUCACAUAUACAUUCUUACACUAAAACCCUAACACAAUCCAAAAUUUUAUAAUGACCUUUAUAUUACUUCUAUAAGAAAGGCAAAUUUUACUUCAGUCCUUGUACACCAAUAAGAAUUUUAAAGUGUAUUUUGACUUUUAUUUUCAAUGAUCAAUAUUAAAUUCACAUACAUAUCAUUGUAUAUCAUUUAUAGGGUAUAUCCUUGAAACUCCCUAUUUACAAAAUGUCUCAUCAUAUAAUUCAUAUAACAGUCUCCCUAAUGUCAUACCAUGCAUGUUUUUUAUGUAUUUUUAACAUAUUUUCACACAUUCAUCUUAUGAAUACAGAUAUUUCCCAGUAUACAUGUCCAUUCUUUAACCCUAAUCCUAACUCAAACCAAAAUUUUAUAUUAUCUUUACAUUACCUUUUUAUCUAAAUCCAGUUUUACUUGAAUUCAUGUAGUCCAAUAAAUUUUAAAUUGUAUUUUGACUUCUAUUUUAAUUGUUUAAUGAUAAAUCUGCAUCUAUACUAAUAUAUGUCAUUUAUAGUUUAUAUCUUCACCUCCACUUAUAUACAACAUGUGUAAUCACAUGACUCAUAUUGUAUUCUUCUCUGUGUCAUAACAUGUAUGUUUAUAUAUGUUUUGGUACAUUUUUAAUGUAAAUUCUUAGGACUGUUCAUAUUUUCACAUACAUAUGUUAAUCUUUAACCCUACCACUAACUCAAACCAAAAUUUCAUAUUAACCCUAACCUUACCUCUACAUAUUAACCAAUUUUACAUAAAUCCAUGUGAUCAGGUGUAUCAGGUGUAUAUAUGUGCCUGUGAGUGCUAGCUGUGCUUACUGGUUCAGAUAUAUAAGUGCGUAUGUAUAUGUAUGUAUGUAUGUAUAUAUAUGUACGUAUAUAUAUAUAUAUGUAUAUAUAUAUGUGUAUAUGUAUAUAUGUAUAUAUGUGUGUGUGUGUAUAUAUAUAUAUAUAUAUAUAUAUAUAUAUAUAUAUAUAUAUAUAUAUAUAUAUAUCUGACAGGAGACCUCAGCAGUCUUGUGCAGCCAAGCAAUUGCAUCAUCACAACCAAGUCCCUGGAUUGGCACCGGCAGGUUUCCAUGUUUGGCCAGAGUUAUUUAGUGCUGAGCACCGCAUUGGCCAGAACUCCAGUCCUCCCACAAGUUGAAGCCAGGAGGGCUGUGAGAACUCCCUUGGCUCCAAACAGCAAAAGUUGUGCAUAGACCCCAACCUCAAGCGCUACUGCAGGGGAGAGGGGGACGACACAACAUUCCUGCGCUGCCUCCUACACUCUGGCCCAGACAAGGAACCGGUACCCUAUGCCACCUCCUGGGCAAGUUCUGCAGCGCCCCCUCCUGCAACACAAGCCAUCCUCCCCAUCUUCCCGGGAACUCUGCUUCCCGCUCGCCCUCCCUGCACAUCAUGUGGCCCCACCCCUAUAUUGUUGGACACAGCCCUGCCCUCAACUCAUAAGUGAAUGCAUGAUGCGCGCACGCUCGACGCGCGCACGCUCCACACGCGCACUGUGAACUACUUCUGUGCAGUGGGUUUCCUGCCGCCUAGAAGUUUCAGGCAGAUGGUGGAGAAGCCCGUGUCUUCAAGUAGCUGCGGACCUACCUUUGGAAGGCUGCCUGGCCUGCUCUGCUCCUGGCCAAGAAGCUUUGUCGCCCUCUGGGAUGAAGUCCCUUCUGGCUUUCCACUUUGCGGUUCCUGGUGAGGAUGUGAGGCCUCCCACAAAGGCAGUCUGGCGCUCACCCCUGUGCUCCUGUUGGACAUUGUGGAUCCCAGGGAGAGCCUCAGGUAGAGAGGGCACCAGUGUGUCCAGCAGUUUGUGGGGUGCAGCACUGGCUGGAGCGGCGUCAUGGGACCAGAGCUGGGUAAGUAAUGUAUGGGGAAGAGGCAAAAUGUGUCUCUCUCCCUGUAAGGCGGUUCAUGGAUGCGCGGACCCUGCUGAGUCCUGUUUGGGAUGGGAACCUUGCUGGAUAGUUCUUAGGGAACCAGGAGCAGGGUGGGGUAGGAGGUGGGUGAGGUAGGAGCUCCGUGGGGUAGGAGCUGGGUGGGACAGUGCAGGGGAGGGGAUGCUCUGUGCUGUCCCUGGGAGGCAGUGACUGAAGGGGUAACCAUGCUGAGGCUUGUGGGGGAAGGGUCCUGGCUGGAGAUCUUAGGGGACCUGAGCUGGGUGGGGUAGUGUCUGGGGAAAAGGCACACUGUGCCUGUUUCUGCUAGGCAUUACCUUGUAACAUUCCUGGGCAAACCCCCACCCUCAACACACAGGUGAGUGCAUGAGGCACACAGGCUUGGGCAGGCAUAUUGCAAACUGUUUCUGUGCUCUGAGUUUCCAGGCAUCCAGAAGUGGCCAGUAGACAGUGGAGAAGCAUGUUCCUCAAGUACCUGAGAUCCCUCCUGCUGAACCUGGGAACAGAGCCUAGGUAGGGAGACCUCCAGUGUCCUCAGCAAUGUGUGGCGUAUGGCCCUGGCUGGAGAGGUGUUGGGGGACCAGACUGGAUGGGGUAGGUGGUAGGUGUGGUAGUGUGUGAGGAGGGGGCAUGCUGUUUCUGUAAAGUGGUGCCUGGAGAGGAAGCUCAUGCUUAGGUUUUUGGGGGCACUGCCCUGGCUGAAGGGGCUUCACGGGAACGGAGUUGGGUGAGAUAGUUGGUGGGGAGGGGGUACACUGUGUUUGCACCCGUGAGGAGAUGCCUGGAGGGGGCGCUCUUGCUGAGGCCUGUGGGUACAAGACCCUCACUGGAGAGGUGUUAGGGCACCAGGAACUGGAUGGGGUAGUACAUGGGGAGGGUACUUGCUGUGCCUGUCACUGCAAUGCAAUGCCUACAGUGGGUGCUUGUGCUGAGGCCUGUGCGGGUGCAGUCCUGGCUGGAGAGUUAUUGGGAGAUCAGAGCUGAAUGGGGUGGAGCUUGGUGGGGUAGGAACUUUUGUGGGGAGAGGUACACUGUGCCUGUUCUUGCUAGGGGGUAGCUGGAGGGGGCAGUCGUCCUGAGGCUUGUAGGGGCACAACCCUGGCUGGAGAGGUCUUAGGGGACCAGAGCUGGGUGAGGUAGUACCUUGGGAGGGCUGAACUGUUUCUAUAACUGUGAGGUAGGGCCUGGGAACAUCCCUGCACAUAGCCCCGCCCUCGACACACAUGUGCAUGCAGUUUGCACACAUUCACUGAUUCAUGUAGGGACUUAUCCCAAACUGCGUCUGCACAGUGGAUUUCUGGGCAGCCUAAAAGUGUACUGCAGAUUGUGGAGAAGCUAGGGCCUUCAAAUCACAGAGAUCCUUUCUACUGAUGGCUGCCUGGGAUGCUCCAGUCUUGCCCCUAGACUAUGCCACCCUCUGGGAAGGUGUCCUUGCUGUCCUUUCUCAUUCAUGGUUCCUGGUGAGGAUGUUGGGCCUCCCACAGGGACAGCAUGGCCCUCACCACCACCUCCUGUUGGUCUUUGUGGACUUAUGAGGACAGUCUCAGGUAGGGAGGACUCCAGUGUCCCCAGUGGUAUGUGGCAUAUGGCCCUGGGUGGAGAGGUUUUAGGGGACUGGAGCUGGGUGGUGAAGGAGUUUGGUGGGUAAUGUGUGGUGAUGGGGCACACUGUGCUUGUCUCUGUGAGGCAGUUACUUGAGGGGCACUCAUGCUGAGGCCUGCGGGGGGGGGGCGGCGCAGCCCUGGCUGAAGAGGCAUUGGGGACUGGAGCUGGAUGAGUUAGAGCUGGGUGGGGUAGUGUGUGUGGAGGGGGCAUGCUGUGCUGGCCCCUUGAGAGGGGCCUCUUUCUGAGGCCUGUUGGGGUUGGACCCUUGCAGGAGAGGUGUCCUGGGACCAGAGGCUAGGUGGGGUAGUGUGUGGGGAGGGGGCACUCAGUGCCUGUGACUGCAAGGUGAUGACUGGAGCAGACACACGUCGUGAGGCCUCUGGGGGCGUAACCCUGGCUGGAGAGGUGCAGGGGGACCGGCAGCUAAGUGGGGUAGUGAGUGCCGGCUGUGAGGGAGUGCCUGGAGGGGGCACUAGUGCUAAGGCCUGUUGGGGUGGGGAAGUGUGGCAUAGGAGUUAGUGUGCUGUUCCUGGGUGCUCUUGGCAGGAGCUGAGUGGGUGUGUCAGAGGUUGCAGGGAAGUGGGGCAGAGGCACUUGGGUGAUGUUCCUGGAUGCUCCUGGAGGCAGCUGAGUUUGUGUGGUGGAGGAUUUAGGGCCGGUACCUGGCUUCAGUAGUGGGACUUUGUUGGGGAAGUAAGUGUGAAGGGAAACUUUGGUUGGGGGCUGGCCUGAAUGGGGGGAUGUUGAAGGGAGAAAGAGGAACACCUGGUUUAAAUGGGAGUACACAUGUAUCAUUUUUAAAGCUGUGCAUACGGUGUAUCAUUUUAAAAGCUGUGUUCUAAACUUUAUCUACCAGUGUUUUCUUUUGUUUGUCCCCCCAAAAGUGUAAAUUACAAGUUUUCAGUGUAAGUCUAUUCUCUACAUUCUGUACAUAUAAUUUUUGUGUUUUUCUUGUACCUUAUAUUUUAUUACAAUUAGGUGAUUUUUGAUGAUUCAUUGUUUAUAAAUCAAUGACUUUCAUAUUUUAAAUCAAUCAUUUUUAUGGAAACCAUUUUUGUAAGUCCUCAUUAACUUUGCUUUUUAGUUCACUAUUUCCCAGUAAGUACAAUUACUCAUCCAUUGGCAUUUCCCUUUUUGCUGUGCAAAGGGUAUAUUCAUUCUGAAAUACUUUGAUGUGUAUUUUGUCCAGUGUGUCUUGCUCAAGCUUCGUGGAAAUUUAAUUAUCAGUUGUUUUUGUCUUAAAAUGGGAGAAAAACUGUAGUUGAAAUGGUCAGGUUUUUAAGGCAUUUGUCUUCUGGUGACAUUUUGCUCUGUUGAGACAUGCAUUUUGUAAGUACAUGUCUUUAUAGUAACACACAUAUUUCAUGUCAAUUUUUUUGUUCAUACAACCAGUUUUAGUAAAAAAAGGUUUUCUAUUUUUUUCACUUCAUCAUUCAAUAUGUUUGAGCCUCUGUUCAUGUUCUAUAUGUGGGAAUUUAUUAUGAUCACCAUUCUGAUAAAAGAAGCUGGUAGCAAAGUUAGGGCUAAUUUUUAUUUUUACCACAAGGUCACUUGUCAUAACGAGUUUUUACUUAGGGGUUUUACAAGUUAGCAUCAAAGUAGGCAAUUAAGAAUAUUAACAUUAACCAGCACUAUUAUAAUUAAUUUUUUUUUUACCUUUGGGAUUUCACAGUGGGAUUGAGAACUAUAUCAGGAGUAUCAUUUCUUAGAAGUAUUUUUAAGUGUAGCAGCUUAAUAAAUAUGCCUAGAUGCAACCAAGCUUACACAUUUUAAUGGAAAUAUUAAGCCCUGAAUUCCUGGGCUGGGGUUGUGGCUACACCUAAACAUAUACGUGUGUGUGUGUGUGUGUGUGUGUGUGUGUGUAUGCUCUGAAAUCCUGUCAGUUUUGAUUUUCAAUUAUGUAGAGUACCUUUCUGAGUAUUGAUUAUAUUUGUGUAAGUUCAUUUCAUAGUUUUUGCUAUUUAGAAUACCUCAACAUGCAAAUGAGGGCUCUCAUGAGGAAACUAAAUGUGUAAAUUUUGGUUUCCCACAGCAUUUCUGUGACGUAUCCCAGGGCCUCCAAGCCCCGGCUAGUGGUUUGCUUUAGAAUGAUGAUGGUAUAAAUGGAGAAAAGGGAUGCAUACUUGAUUGUUUUAUUUGUUCAUGUGAGUUAUAAUUGACAAUAAAAUGUAUUUUGACAUAUCAUACAUAAAUGGAGUAUAACUUCUCAUUCUUUUGGUUGUACAUGAUGUAGAUUCACACUGGUCAUGUAAUAAUAUAUGUAUAUAGGGUAAUAAUGUCUAAUUCAUUCCACUAUUCUUCCUACCCUCUUACCCUCCUCCACUCCCUUCACUCCCCUCUGCCUUAUCCAAAUCACCUGUAUUCUUCGCCAGAGGGCAUCCUCCUAUCUCAGUCUCUAAACUCAUGGACAUUACAGGUGUGCACCACAGUGCCUGGCUUUUCUUCUCAUUUAUUCUGCCCUCCCAGGCAAUAUUUUUUUCUCUCAAAGAUUUAUUUUGUUUAACACCUCAUAAGUACAUAUUAGUAUGUACAAUGUAAUUACUUUGAUUCCUGGGUAAUAUCUAUCUCAACUUUUAUCAUUUUUUAUUGUAAAUAUAUUUUAAAUAUCCUCCCUUCUAUCUAGUUUCAGUUAUUCAAUGCUAUAUUCACCCUCCUCUGCCAUAGAACACAAGAACUUACUCAUCCUAACUGUAAUGGUGUUCUAGUUGACCAAGAUCUCUCCAUCCUCCCACCCUCUACACUCUUCCCAGCUUCUGGUAACAACUAUUCUCUCAACAUCUAUGAGAUUGACUUUUGUAGAAUUCACAUAUAAGUGGAAUCAGGUAAUAUUUGUUUUUCUGUGCCUGGAUUAUUUUAUUUAACUUCAUGUCCUCCAUGUUUAUCUCUGUUGUUGUGUAUGACAGGACUUCUUUUAAUUUUGUGGUCACAUAAUAUUUCUUUGUAUAUUUCACAUUUUCUUUAUCCAUUUGUCAGUUUAUGGGCAUAUCUGUUGUUUUCAUUUCCUGGAUAUUAUGAACAGUGCUGCAAUCAGUAGGGUAGUGCAGAUGUUUCUUUGCCAUGCUCAUUUCAUUCCUUUUUGUAUACCCCCAAUAGUGGAAUUUCAAGAUUAUGUGGUAGCUCUAUUUUUAGUUUUUGGAGGACUCUCCAUACUUUCUUCUAUAAUAACUGAACUAACUACAUUCCAACCAUCACACUCUUCAAAAAUGGUUUUUGUGUCUUGCCUACCACAUGUAUCCCAAUAUUUCCCUAAUAUUAUGGCUUUCCAAGUAUGAAAAUAUCUACCUAGCCAAACCGUUAUCUCACUGUCCUCAAUACUGUCAUGUAAAUAAAAAUUUUUUACAACUGUUUCUCAAACACAGAAUGAUAGUUUCUGUCUGGAAGUUUACUAAUUUUUUACGCAACAUUAUCUUUAACUUUCUCAAUAACUUACAUAGUUCGUUCCAGUGUAUUUAAAGUGUUUACUGUGUUAUAAUAAAAUUGAUUUGUCAUUUUUACUUUACCAUAUUUGUUAAUAGUACCUCAAUUUUACAUUUAUAUCCCAAGGGGAUUGAAUCUAGGGCCUUGUGCGUGUGAGGAAAGCACCCUACCAACUGAGCUAUAUCCCCAGCCAUAAAAAUGGAGAAUUUCAUAGAUACCAUUGAAUUUAUGUAUUGAGAUGCAAGAAUAAAUAAAAUGGCCACAUGAGUCAUGAAUAAAGAAUAAUUUGAGAUUUUUCAAAAAUAAUAUCAAUAAUGACGAUAUAAAUUAAGAUAUUACUAAUAAUUAAAAUGUCUAUUUUUCUAGCACUUAAGACAAAUAAUCAACCUAGUCAGCAAGAAAAUGAGCACAUGCAUUAUUAUCUAGGCACUAUAUAUAUCCAUGUAAGGUCUAAAAAUAUUUGGCUUUUAUUUGGUGCUAAAGUUAAGAAAAGUCACACAUCACUAUUGCUGCAUUAUUUAAAUAAAUUUUUUUUGUUAAUCUUUUCUUUUUUGCUGGAAUUGUAAGGAUUUCUAGUAGACUUACUGUAUUAAUUUAUUGAGGUAUUCUGCUUAACUUGCAUCAUAGACUCCUCAAGAUUUUAAUAUGUAAAAAUAUUUUGACAUGCAUAAUCUAUUUUUAUUUCAUCAACACGUUUUCUUAAGUUAUGUAUUUAUGAACCACAUAAACAAAAAUAUUCUACAAAGGUAAUAACUAAAUGAAGAGAAGUAAAACAAUUCCAUUAAACAUAUAAUAAUCUAUGUUCACCAUUGAGCAUCAAAUUUUUAAAUUAUCAUGUCUUGUCAUUUUUCCCUUAUUUCCUAACACAAAUUAUAUUAUUCAAUACAUCUUAUACAGAAAAAAAUACUUUAAUUCUUAUUAAUAAUGUUUUCCAGCUGAAGCAGAAUUUUCUGAAUAUUUCUCUGUGUGUGUAUGUUUGUGUGCAUAAACGUGUACGACUGUGUGUGUGUUUGUGUGUAUAGAGAGAGAGAGGGGAGAGAGAAGGGCAGAAAGACUUUUUAUGUUAGGUAAAUAUAUUUGUAUUUGUAUGGGAACUCUGGUAUAAUUUUGCUAUAAAAUUUGAACUUAAAAAUGAAGUAUCUGAUAUAAAUAGUUUAUAAACAGAAAAAUGAAAUAUCUGAUAAUAAACAGAAGAAUGAAAAUUGAAAAAGUAUUAUCUGCUGGUACAUUUUGUAAUAUCUUUUAAUAUCAGAUAUCGAUCAGAUAAUUAUCAGUACACAGUGAGACUAAUUAUUUGGGAUGGUCAUCAAUAUUAAAUGCAUUUGAGAAGUCCAAAAUAACAGCUAUGUUUCCAUUUUGUUUUUCUUUUAUUAGUUUUAAUCUUAGUUUUUUUUUCACUCUUUGCAAAGUAUAAACUAUCACCACCUCUUUUUCUCAUACACUAUAGCUACCUAAAUAAAUUGUUUAGAAAAUUUAUAAUGUAUUCUCCAGUAUGUUACAUGAUCAUUAAAGUUUGAGACAAAUGUUUUCAACUCAUUGUAUGCUAUUUACAUUGUUGUGAUUUUUUUUCAUUUUAUUAGAAUACAUGUAAUGGGAGGUAAUAUCUCUAUAUUUCAAUGUUGAAAUUUUUAAAGGUCUUAAUCACAGUACUUGUUGUAAUAUAGAGUUAUAUACAUACCAGAGAAUAACAUUAAUUUGAAAAGAUAGGACAUAAUGACAAUUAAACAGGAGGAUUGCAGGUUCAAGCACAGCCUCGGCAACUCUGUGAGAUCCUUUCUCAAAAAUGGUUUCAUCUGCUUCACUGAAAUAAAAUGUUGGGAAUCUAGCUCAGUGGUAGUGCAUCCCUGGGUUCAAUCUCCAGUGUUAGAAAAUAAAUGAAUAAAAAUAAAUGAAAAAAAGAACCAAUUAGUUGAUAACAAUUUAAUGAAAUGAAUGUGUAUUUUAUAAGAUAACACAUUAAAGGUUGUUUUUUUUUUUUUAUUUAGGUAGAACAAACAAAAAGAUAAGGUUAUUUUGUCCUAAUCAUAAUAUUUAUGACUUAUGGGAUUUAUUUUGAUAAUUUUAAAUUACUGAAAAAGUGGUAUAUUAUUUUAGUUAUUUAUAUUUCUUUUUGUUAAUAACUAGUUGUCAGCUAGUUAUAUCUAGUGUAUAGUGGGCAUGGUUUGGCCACCAUUCUUUGAUGAUAUAAAACAUUUAAUCAUAAAUAUGGCUUUUAAGAAUCCUAAUCUGGAGGCUUACUGAAGCUGGGGUGUGAGUGGCAAAUAAUGAACUAUGAAAAUAAUAACAAGGACUUUGGAAAAUGUUUAUUUUUCUCUCUCUUUCUCUGAUUGAUAUGAGUCUUUCUAUAUGUUUAUCCAUUUAUUUAUUAACAUGUUUGGAGAUUGAAAAGGCAAUUUGAUAUUAUUUCUUUUUAUAUGACAAGGGAGGAAAAAGUCACCUUGUCCUCUACAAAGGACUCCAAGAUGGGUGUUCUGUCAUGACAAGUCAUCAAGAUUUGAACCAUUUGCUAUUUGGGAACUGAGGCAAUUUACUUUUUUUUCUGUUCCUAUUUCUGUAUCUAAAAGGUAGCAAUAAAUAUAGCAGCUUGUUUAUAAUAUCCAUUAGUUUUAAAUAAAUGACGUGGAGACAAGCUGCCAUGUAGACAGUUUCCAACAAAAAUAGCAGCGACUCUUGCCACUGUCAUCUAUCUUGUGGUCCUUUGUCGUCAUAUCACAACAGUGCUGAAGUAUCAGAGAGAUUUAAUCCCUGACAGUAUCAUUAAUUCUCUGUGAUCUAAAUAGUUACAGCUAAUCUUUCUGGGUUUGGUUUGUCAUAAAUCAGUUGGUGAUGAAUGGUUCCUUUUCCACACAGAUGUUUGAAAAAUUUUAUACAUUGUUCAUACACUGUUGGGUGACAUUCUUGGAACACAUUCAACUGCAGCUAUUUGAAAUGUUAUUACUAAGAGCCCUCCCCCCAAUUGUCUUCAUGACACCUAUCUUCUGUAGCUUUUCCUAUUAUUUUCACUUAUAUCAGAAAUUUCUUUCUAAAAAUAUUUACUCUUGUCACAUUACUUCAGAUGUACCUUUAGGAUAAAAAUACAAACAAAAAAGAAACUAACAUAAAUAUAAUGAUAAUGAAUUCUUUUUGUUAGUUGAUAAGCUAAACAUAUUAUAGAAGUUCUCUAAUUUACUCCUUCCAGUGAUUCUUCAAUAUGGGUGAUUGUUUUCCCAAUUUUAACUGCUGAAGAGACUGGCAGAAGUAAGAUGAAUCAUGUUUUAGUGGCAUCAUCUUCUCUUUGUUAUUGAGACUUAAUGAAGAAUCUGUCAGUUAUUUUCUCCUCCUUGCAACUUAGAACGUAACAUGCUUUUAUGCACUGAAAAUAAAUCCUCAGUAUCAGCCGUCAGAUAUAAGGUAAAAAUAAUUUUUUAAAAAAUAUCUGCAUCAGUAUUUCUGAGAAUAAUUUGAAAAAGUGAUCUAAGGUAUUUGAAAAAAUGUUACAACACUUCACUGAAAUAAAUAGCACUGUUAUUGUUUUUGAGAAAAAAAAUAAACACUCAGGAUAUUUUUAAUUAAAAAUAAGUUAUAAAUUUAAGCUAUAAAGGAUAAUACUUAAAUAGCUUAAAUUUAACAAAAAAAAUUUGUAUAGGAUGCAUAAAUAAGUGUGCAUCAAGUAUAACUAAUCAUAAUAGAGAUACCUGGAAAAUAAAAAUGAGUAGUUCUACAAAAUAUUUAACUGUAUCAUUAUACUAUAGUAAAGCAUUAUAGUGUGGACACAAGGUAGCAGGUCUAUUAUAUGAGAAUAAAAAUGGAUAACUAGAAAAUUUCUAAUUUUUUGAAAAUAAAUCUAAUAAGUUAAUUGUAGAACUUGAAAUUUUUAUACUAUUAACUUCAUUUCUAAAAAUCUUGCCAGAAUUUACAGAAAAAAAUGUGUGACAUCUUAUGGAUGAGUACAUGCAUUGUAAGUUAAACAGUAGAACACAUUGGUGUUCAAGUUCUUACAGGCAUGACAUUAAGCACCUUGCAACAGAAGAACAAGCUGUAGGUAAAUUCUUCUCCAUGACAUUAUCACCUGUUUCUUUAGUAAAGUUCAGAAUGAAUGCACAUUUAGUUAAGGAUAACAGUAAUUUUUAUGUAGUUUUUUAUCUGCCAUCAUUAGAAAUGUAAUUAAUAUAUAAUUUUCCUACAAUAAAUAUAACAUUAGAAUUUCAACUAUUUUGCAGAAAUAUUAUUCCUGUCUCAUCACAGUGAAAACUUUAGUAAACUUUGUAUAAUCCUUAAAACAUUUUUAUAAAUAUUAUGCUAAUUCAAUAUUAAUAAGAGAUCAGUCUAGUUUAUGUUUUUUUCCUAAAAAUGGCAUUUUAAAACAAAAUUGCAUACUUAUACCUACUUCCAUUUUAUUUUCAGGUGUGCAUCUAUAAGAAAAAGUGGAUUUUUGUGAAAAGUAAUAAAAAAUACUGUUUUGUUAGCUACAAUGUAUAAUAUGCAAUUUUCAAAGAACACUGUGAAUUAUGUACACAUUAAAUACAUAUAAUCAUAUAUGUAAAUACUUUAGCAUAUAUAUAUACACACACACACACACACAAUAUGAAGCAAUAUUUUGAUGUUCUAGAACAGAAGUAUCGAAGUAUCUAGGGAGUUCUUUCAGAUUUCCUUACACUAAAUUCUAAAUCGGCAAACUAAAAUGGAUGUAUUUCUCUCAAUACAGCAUAAACUAAUAGAAAUAAAGAAAAUUUUGAUUUCUAAAUUAAUUUAAAAACUACCUGUUGUGUUACAAAAUGGCAAGGUUGGGGCUGGGAUUGUGGCUCAGUGGUAGAGUGCUUGCCUAGCAUGGGCAGGACCUGGGUUUCAUCCUCAGCACCACAUAAAAAUAAAGGCAUUGUGUUGUGUCCAUCUACACCUAAUAAAAUAAAUAUUUUAAAAAAUAGCAAGGUACUAAAAUUAGAAUUCAAAUUCAUAUCUGUAUAUAUUUUCAAAUAUUUGAGCUCUUUUCAUUUCUCACAUGAGUUCAAAAUAACAAUGAAAAUACCUAAAUCCACACCGUACUAGCCGAAAUUCUCACAAUAUCUAAUUACAUACUUAUUCUAUCCAGAUUCCAUGGUAACUCCUGGCAAUAACUAAAAGUGUUUCUAGUAGUAGUAGUAAUAGUAGGUAAAUGUUAUGUUUUUAAAAUCCAGAAUUAUUUUUUCAAUAUGUAAUCUCUUUAUGGUUUAUUUAUUAUUUCUGCCCAUGUGUGGUUAAGAGUUAUGUGACAGAGCAGCCCUGAAUGGGGCUAUGUAAGUUUCCUGGAAGUUACAUAACAAAAUACCACAAACUGUGUAGCUAAUAACAGACAUUUAUUCUCUCAAAAUUCUGGCUAUCAGAAUCUGAAAUCAAGGUGUGAGCAAGGCUGUGCUCCUUCUGAGACUCUGGAUAAAAUCCAUCCUUUCCUCUUCCUAGCUUUGGUGAUAACCAUUAAUCCUCUUCAAUUUUUGUCAGCUUGCAGCUGCCUCACUCCAAUCUGCUUCUGUUCUCACAGGUCCCUCCAUUCCCAUUAUCUUAUAUAUAAGUCCUUCAAGCAUAUUGGUUAAGGGGCAACAUUAAUUCCCUCAUGUUUACUGCAAGUAAUAAAAACAUGAUGGAUUUUACCAUCUUAGCCAUUAUUACAGACUGACAGAUUAAUUUUGUUCAAAUUAUAAUUUAAAAUAAACAACUUACAAGAGUGACAGGCUUAUUGCCGAUUUUAUUUUACAGUCCCAGCUCUAUUAAGUAUCUGUAAUGCCAUUUGAACAUUCUUAAGUUAGAUAUGUAAAUAGUUGUUUUGUAUUAAAAUAUGCUGGUAUUUUAAAUCUAUAAUUUUCAGUUAGGAAUAAAUUUUCUUAAAUGAUACUUAAAAAAUCAAAUAGUAAUUCCUUUAAAAUAACCUAUUAGCCAUUUUAAGUGUGUAAUAGAGUAAUAUUAACAAUUCACAUUGUUGGAACAACCUAGGUACCCUUCAACAGAUGAAUCGAUGAAGAAAGUAUGGUAUAUAUACACGAUGGAAUAUUACUCAGCCUCAAGGAGAAUGAACAUAUGGCAUUUACUUGUUAAUUGAUGGGACUGAAGCUGUCAUGCUAAGUGAUAUAAACCAGUCUCAAAAAAAAACAAAGGCCAAAUGUUCUCUCUGAGAUGUGGAUGCUAACCCAUAACAAGGGAGGGGAAGUAUAGGAGUUCACUGAAUUGGACAAAAGGGAAUGAAGGGAGGGGUGGGAAGAAGAAAGAGAGUAGAAUUAAUUGCACAUGAUUUUUCAAUGUGCAUAUGAACACAUGACCUGCACAAGAAUGGGAUAAAAAUUGGAAUGGUUUGCACUCUAUAUAUGCAUAAUAUGUUAAAAUACAUCCUAGGGUCAUGUGUAUGUAAAAAAAAAAAAAACAAAUUUAAAAAAGGAGAAAUAAUUUUAUGUAGGUUUUGUAUUCAAAUUAACAUAUGCUGUCAGUGAUGAGAAAUAUAAUAAUGUUUUCUGAUAAAUAAAAAGAAUCAGUAUUUGCAUAUUUUCCUUUCCUAGAAUGUUUAUAUGAUCAUUUGCUUUUUUGUUAUACCAUUCUUUUGUUUCCACUUGAAAGACUCUCUGCAGCAAUUCCAAAAAGGAAGUCUAGUGGUAAUUAACUCACUCAGCUUUUAUUUUUUUGCUAAGAAAGUUGUUAUUUUUUCUUAUUUUUUAAAGGAAAUUAUUACUGGUGCUCUCUUCUCAGUUGUCAAAUUGUUUUUAGUUUGUGUGUGGGCAUCCUUUUUCUUUGAAAAAUUAAUACAUCAUAUCUGACAUAAAGUUUUCUUCCAAAAAAUCUGCUGAUGUUUUUCUGAAAGCUCCAUCUUAGGAGAUAAAUCACUCUUCACUUCUUGUGUUCAAAAAUUUUUAUUUUCAUUUUAUUUACUUAUUUAUUUAUUUUCUAGUUGCUGAUAAACUUUAUUUAUUUAUUUAUAUAUGGUGCUGAGAAUUGAACAGACUUUUAUUUAUUUAUUCAUAUGAGGUGAUGGGAAUCAAACCCAGAGCCUCACACUUGCCAGGCAAGUGUGCUUCUGCUGAGCCACAGCCCCAACCCAUUAAAUAUCUUUAUUUUUAAAUUUUGAUAGUUACAAUUUGCCUCACUUUGGGUCCUUUGUGGAUUUAACUUAAUUAUUUUUCUUUGAGUUUCUUGAAUUUGGGUAUCCAUUUUCUUUCUCAGAAUUGAAAAAAAAAUUUUCUUUUAUUUUUUCAAAUGAGUUCUACUCCCCCUUCUCUUUCUCUUCUUUAGAGAUACACGCAAAACACAUAUUUUCCUUGUGAUGUUGUCCCUUAGAGUUUCUUCACAUUUAAAAUUUUAUAUUUUUAAUUUUCUUUUUGUUUCAAUCAAUAAUUUCAAAAAGCCUGUAUUUGAGUUCAAUGAGUCACUCUUGUGCUUGAUCAAGUCUGUUACUGAACACUUCUAGUGAAUAUUUUAUUUCAAUUAUUGUUUUAUUUAACUAUUGUCAUGUUGACAUUUUUACAUUUUACAUGAAUUUUCCUGAUUUUGUGUCAUUUUUUUUUUAAUAUUUAUUUUUUAGUUGUAGUUGGACACAGUAUCUUUAUUUUAUUUUAUUAUUUUUAUGUUGUGCUGAGGAUUGAACCCAGGACUUCAUUUGUGCUAGGUGAGUGCUCUACCAAUGAGCCACAAUGCCAGCCCUUUUGUGUAGUUUUCUGCUGUUCUCUCGUAACACAUGUAAGUAUUUUUACAAGGACUAUUUUUCAUUUCAUGAAAUUAUUCAUCGACCUUCAAAGUCUUAGGAUUGGUCUUUGUAGAGUUAUCUCGUUUAUUUGAUUUAUUUGUGUUUCUGUGUUUCUUCAUGUGUCUUGUUAUUUCUGUUAUAAUUUUUUGUUUUGUUUUUGCAUUUGAAGAAACAGCUACCUCUUCCAGACUUUGUGAAUCAGUUUUGUAUGGGGGACAAGUUUCACAAAUUAGUCAGAAAUUUUGGAAGCCCCAUGGAUCUUUUAUGGGAGUGGUUCUUUUCUGGACUUGAAAAAUGAUUUCUGAAUUAGAUUUGCUGGUUUCUUUAAAAAAGUCUUGUACUCUCUUCCUCCCCCUGGUGUCUCAUUGCUGUGAGGUAGAGUCUGAUGCUUAGACAAUCCGUUUGCGCUCUCUCUGGUUCUCAGCCCAACUCAGGUAUUGAAAGUAAGAAAUUUCCUCAUAUGAUCCUUGAGACAAGUGAGACAAAUCAUUUCAUCAGACAUCUGUCUCUCCCUAAACAACACCUAGAAUAUUGGAAGCAUAUCCACCCUUCCUCCUAAGAAAGUAGUCAUGAAUUAUGUUUGUCUUGCUGGGUUGUGCAUGGGGUUGAUAGCAAGUGAAUGGAAAUGGUCUUUUUUUACCUCUUUAAAUAAAACUCUGUAUUCCUGGAAUACCCCAAUUUCAUAACUUGCUUAUGCAAUGUUCUUACAGGAUCACUGGGCCAUAAUCUUUGUGUGUCGAUAUUUGUGAGGAAGUGAGGUCUGGGACUUUAUAUUCUGAAAAAUUUCAGACAUCACUCAAGGAAAACAUUUUAAUUUAAUAAAAAAGUCAAUACUAGGCUAUUCAUAUUAUAAUGUGACUUCAUUCAAGUAUGAUUUCUUAAAUGUGAGCUACAUUGUAGCAUAGCAUUCAUUUUACAGAAAAGCUUAAAUACACUUCGGCCACUUUUAUCUUAUGACCCAUUGAGUAACUACAAAUAAUAACAUUUAUGAUAUUUGUGGUAUUGUUUAAAUGUCCUAAACCUUUUGGGUUUUCAAGUUGCAAUAUUCUUGUAAAAUAUGUAUUAUUUAAAUUAUUUUUCAAUGCUGAAUAGCUGAAUGUAUCCAAUUAAAGUCAUAUGCAUUCUCCAAAUUUAUAAUUCAAUUUUCUCAAAAAAGUUUAGUCAAAUAGUAUUUUUUGUGAGCCCUGAAAUAAGGGAAUCUGAUUAGUACACUUAAGAUUUUAUAUUUUAAGGUGUUAGAUUAUAAAUCAAAUCUGAAAUCAAGAGUUUUCCAUUUAAUUUUUAAUACUUGAUAAUUUUUCUCUUAUUGUUUUAUUGAAAAUAUUUUGCAUUCCUUUAAUUUGUUCCUCAGACACCCUAUACAUCCUAGAUUUUACCUUUUAAUACUAUCCCGUAUUUCAUGAAAUUCUGCUCCUAUUCUCUUAACAUCUUUUCUCCAUGAUCAAGUUUCUUUGCCAAGAUUAUGUAUAUUGCCUUUAUUAUGUCAAUAUCUAUUUUUCAAAUGAUGUAGUCUGUUGGUAAUGCUUUCCAUUAAAUUUUUAAUUUGGUUUAUUGAUUCUUCAAUUUCAAGAGUUUCCAAAUUAUCCUUCAAAAUCUAUAUCUCCUUCUGGACAUGAUCUUUCACUUCUAAUAUUUUCUCUCUGAUUCCAAUCCUUACUUCAUUUUUUACCUCUUAUGUCUUGUUAUCUUUGAACUCUCUAAAUUUAUUCCUUGACAUUUCCUACACUGCAGUACCAGUAGAGUCUAUUGUUGAAUCAUUCUGUUUUGGAUGUUUUCUUCUCUUGUUUUUUUUUUCAUAUUGUUUAUGUAUCAACCCAUCUAUUCAAAUGGAUCUGAAGCAGUGGGGUUUCUACUCUACCAGCUUUUAGUUAUCCUGUAAUUUUCCAGUGCCUCAGAGAUUAAGGGAAGUCAAAUAACUGCAAAAACCUAUGCAUAUAACAUAUAGGAUUAAAUUAAGUACUUAGUUCCUAUUAUGACAUGUACAAUGUUGAUUGACACAAAAAACAGAAAUUGUAGGGUGAGCAAUUUCUAUCAGUAAAGAUAGUAGUUAAUCAUGAAUUAUGUCCAUCAAAAACUCAAACAAUUCGUAUUACCUAUGACUUCCAGUGUUUUAACUGCUUCUAUUGCAUUAGUGGUGGGGUCUGACAUUAUACAAACUAACCAUUGGUAAGAGAAGUUAAAAAUAGAGAUAAUUAAGAGUAAAGAAGAAUAUAUCAGGGAGACAAAGAUUUGCGAUUUCAAAAUCGGGCUGAUCCAUAGACAACAUAUUGUUCAUUAUUUAUAAGGGGGAAGAGAAGAAAUAAAAGUAAAAGAAAAAUUAGAGGAAGAGUGAAAGACAGAACAAUGAGUCUGGCUUCUGUUGGUUUAACAUCUAUUUAUUUAUAGAUUUUUAAAUUACAGCAUUAUAGACAUACACAACAUUGAAAUUCACCAUGCUUUAUUCAUAGAUGUACAGAGAGAGUUUAGUUUGUUUCAUUCUACUGUUCAUCCCUCUGUUUGUCCUCCGUGCCUUCCAUGUAACCCCUUCCACAUAUAUCUCUGCUAUUUUUGUUGAAUGCCCCCUUUUCCAUUAUGUGGUCAAGUAUUCACAUAUGAGGGGAAAUAUUUGACCUUUGGCUUCCUGAGUAUGGCUUAUUUCACUUAGAAUUGUGUUCUCAUUUCAUCAAUUUUCCACCUAGUGCCAUAAUUUAAUUCUUCUUAAUGACUAAGUAAAACUUCAUUGUGUAUAUACACCAUGUAUUCUUUAUCCAUUACUCUGUUGAUGGGUUUGAUGUCUGGUUCUGUAAUUAGGUUAUUAUGAAUUGUGUUGCUAUAAGCACUGAUGUGCCUGUGUUUCUAUAGUAUGCUGAUUUCAGAUAUUUGGAUAUAUACCAAGGAAUGAGACAACUGGGUCAGAUGGUAGUUCUAUUCCAAGUUUUGAAAGGGCUAUUAAUACAGUUUUCUAGAAUGGCUGUACUAAUUUGAAGUCCUAUCAACACUGCAUUUCCCCAUUAAUUAUUCUUUUUUUUCUUUUUAAAAAUUAUUUUCAGGUGUAUGUACAGUAAAGUGUAUUUUGUCAUAUUAUACAUACAUGGACUGUAACUUUCCAUUCUUGUGCUAUAUAUACUGUGGAGUUACACAGGUUGUGUAAUUCAUAUAAGUACAUAGGAAAGUUAUGUCUGUUUCAUUCUACUAUUUUUCCUAUUCCCAUCCUCUCCUUUCCCUUCAUCCUUCUAUGUCUAAUCCAAUAAACUUUAUUCUUCCUUUCCCCCCAAAUAUUCUGUCUGAUAUGUGGAUCUCUGCACAAUAUUCUUGAUAAUUGAUAUUUUGAGUGGAGUGAGAUAAAAUCUCCAUGCAGUACUUUUUGAAUCUAAUAGUUUUAUUGAAGUAUAGGGAAAGAGCAAGGGCAUUAUAACAGACUUUCUCUUCCUUGUAGUUUUGAUUGUCAUUUCCCUGAUUCCUAAAGAUGUUGUAUGUGUGUGUAUGUAUGUAUGUGUGUAUGUGUAUUUGUGUGUGUGUGUGUAUAUAUAUAUAUAUAUAUAUAUAUAUAUACAUACAUAUAUAUAUAUAUGUAUAUAUAUGUAUACAUAUAUAUAUAUAUACACAUGUAUACACACACACACCACUUGUAUUUUUUCUUUUAAGCAAUGUAGUUUUUAGAUUUUGUGCCUGUUUCUUUUAGUAAUUGGGGUUUAAUAUUUUUUAGGUUUUUUUAUUAUUCUGUAUAUUAAUUUCCUGAGGAACAGAUGAAAAAUAUUUUAUCAUAUUGGUAAUCUCUUUGUUUACAUUCUUGUUUCCUUUGUUGUGCAGAAGUUUUGAAAUUUGAUUUCAUCUCAUUUAUUGACUGUUAGUUUUAUUUCUUGUGCUUUAGAGGUCUUGUUAAGUUGAUGAUCUUGUCAAUAUGUUGGAGUGUUGGGCCACAUUUUCUUUAAGCAACUGUAGAGUUUCUGGUUUAAUUCCUAGGUAUUUGAUACACUUGGAGUUGGCUUUUAUGCAGGGUUAUAGGGAUCAAGUUUUAUGUUUUUCACAUAUGAAUAUCCAGUAUUCAUAACACCACUUGUUAAAAUGUUUCUGUUUUCUUCAACAUAUAUUUUUGGCCCCUUUGUCGCAUAUCAGGUCACUUUAUCUAUGUGGGUUUGUCUGUGUUUUCUUUUUCCAUUCAUCUUCAGGUCUGUUUUGGUGCCAAUUUAAUGCUGGUUUUUUUUUUUUUGUUGUUUGUUUGUUUUUAGUAAAGCUCUGUGAUAUAAUUGGAUAUCUGGUACUGUGAAGCUCUCAGCAUCACUCUUCUGGUUCAGGAUACAUUUGGAUGUUCUAUGUCACUUCUUUGUCAAAAUGAAUUUGAGAAAUGUGUUUUGUCUGUGUGUUAUGAAGAAUGUCUGUGUUUUGAAGGAUGUCAUUGAUAUUUUGACUGGGAUUAUACUGAGUCUGUUCACUGGUUAAGGUAGUAUGACCAUUGGGAUAAUAUUAAUUUUGCUUUUUCAAGAAUAUUGAAAGUAUUUCCACUUCUUAAGAUUGUCUUCGAUUUGUUUUACUUCACCAUUUUAUAAUUUUCAUUGUUGAGGUUUUUUUCAUCUCCUAAGUUAGAUAUUUUCCAAAGUAUUUUCUUUAGGGUUUUUUGAAUGAGACAUUUUUCAAUUGUUUUGAAGAGGGUUUGCUAUUGCAUUAUAGGACUCCAAUUGAUUUAUGUAUUAUUUUCUUUUAUCAUCUCUUUUAGUAGAUUUGUUAUCAGCACUAUAAAUUUUCUGAUGGAGCAUUUUAAAUCAUCUAAGUAAAAUGUUCAUGUCAUCAGUAAACAGAGGCAGCAGGACUUCUUUUUCCUAUGUGUAUGAAAUUAGUUUCUUCUCUUGCUUGUUUGCUCUUGCUGGGGAUUCAAGGAGUGGUGAAAGUUUACUUCCUUGUUUUGUUUUUGUUUUUAGAAAAAAAAUGUUUCAACUUUUUUAAUUCAGUUUGAUGUUGGCAUUUGGUUUCUCCUUCUAUCACUAGUCUCUCUGGUCUUUUUAACCUGAAUGGGUGCUGAGUGUUGUGAACAGGCUUUUCUGAAUCUACUGAUUAUAUCAUAGUAUUUUUGUAGUUAAAUUUGUUUAUACAGUAAAUUUUGUAUGUGUGUGUGUGUAUGCAUGCAUGCAUGUGCGCAUAUGUAUAUAUGUACACAUAUAUGUACUUAAAUUUUUUUUUAGAAUUGGGAAUUGAACCAAGGCAUGAUUUUCUAAUUAGGUUCAUGUGCCACUAUCCACUUUUUAGUUUUUUUCAUAUUUUUGUAAAUGCACUAUACUAUUACAGAACAAUGGAUUUAUUGUUACAUAUUCACAUAUGAAUCUAAUAUAAAAAUAAGCAAUAUUAUACCCCAGUGUUUCCCCUUUUUUUCCUUCCCUCCCUCAGGUCCUUUUACUCCUUUUUUAUUUCUUCUUUUUAGAUAUAUGUGACAGUAGAGUACAUUUGGAGAUAUUAUAUAUGGAUGAGAUAAACCUUAUUCUAAUUAGGAUCCCAUUCAUGUGGUUGUAUAUGGUGUGGAAUUUCACUGGUCAUGAAUUCAUAUAUACACAUAGAAAAGUUAUGUCCAGUUCAUUCUCAUGUCUUUCCUAUUCUCAUGCUGCUCCCUUACCUUACCUCUUUGUAUACUCCAAUGAACUUCAGUUAUUUCCUCUCUGUCCCUUAUUGUGUAUUAGCAUCCUCAUAUAAAAGAAAAUAUUUGGCCUUUGGUUUUGGGGAUUGACUUAUUUCACUUAGCUUGAUAGUCCCUAGUUCCAUCAAUGUAUUGCAAAAUGCCUUAAUUUGAUUUUUAUUUAAGGCUCAAUAAUGUUCUAUUGUGUAUAUAUAACCAUAUAUUCUUUUGGAUAUUUGAUUUUAAGAGAGACUAGGAUGAAGGGUCAGAAGCUUGGAAGAGAAAAGCUAUUGGUAUGAUUCUUCUAAUUCCCAGGUGUCCUUAUGGAGAAUAAAAUUGACACUUUCACCCCAGGCCAUCUGUUCAAAACUACAACAGUACAUCUCAAGUAGGGUACAUGACAGUCUCUUGGAGAGCUCACUCAAACUCAGACUUCUGGGCCUCAACUCAGAGUGUCUGACUCAGGGCCCAGGGGUGGCCCUUGAUUAUUUCUUACAGGCCCCCAGGGUUUGCUCAAGUUCCUGGUCUAAACACUUCCAACUGAUGGCCCUGGUCUAGAAAUUUCAGGGGCAGUGAAGGUGACAUAAGGUCCUCCUGGGGUCCAGUCUUCACCUUCUUUCCCUACCUCUUUUCCCAGUGCCCUACAGAGAAACCUACUGUAGCUCCUACUUAGAUCACACCUGCAUAUGUCCAUGAUAAAUUGGGGCACGUGGGAUCUUCCAGUCUCAAGGGCCUUCCACAGUUUCAGAUUUUUUUCCCUGAAGACUGCAAGCCCUAUCUCUGUACUUCAACCACUGUCUACAUAUCAGUUUUUAGAAUCUCAUCUUUUGGAUUGUUGAUUUCCAUGUGAAUUUUGGAACAUGGUUUACUAUUAGAAUUCCACACUGCAUUUUCAUGAUAUUUUAUCCAGGACUUUAUGGACACAGGAUGUUACUGAUGACAAUGGGAUUCCUCUUUUUCCCUUUUAUGAAAGGAAGCUACCAGUCUGGGACUAACUCCUUGAGUGUCAAGGAGGAGCCAAACAUAUGGGCCCUUUUGGGUUCCUAGGACUACUCUGAAAAAUAAUACUUACCGGGUGUCCUAAAAAAUCAAUUUAUUGUACCACAGUUGUGGAGUCUAGGAGUCCAAACUGAAUUAUUAUAAGGUAUCUGCUCUGAAAGGUCUAGGGGAGGAUUUUUCCUUGUCUCCUCUAGCUUUCAGUAGUUGUAGGAAAUCCUUGGCAUACCUUGACGUGUAGAUUCAUCUCUCCGUUUUCUGUCAUGAUUAUCACAUAUUAUUCUCUCCGCACAGGUAUACGUGUCCAAAUUUCCUCUUCUAAGGUCAUGAAUCAUUAGAUUAUAGCCCACUCUAAUUGACUAUGGACUCAUACAACAUUUUUAUGCACAAAAACCUCAUUUGCAGAUGAGAUAAUAAGCUGAUAUGCUGGGAAGGACAUGACUAUUCAACCCAGAGCAUGUAUUGAGCACUUAAUGUGCCCUAUUCCCUGUAUUUCCCAUGGCAGCACUGUGAGGUACACACAGGCAUCACUCACACUGAAUAAACCAGGAUAUGAAGCUCAGUAAAGCUGUGCUCCAGCCAGAAGCACUUGGAACACACAAGGUUGUAGUCACAGUGUAGCUGUAGCAUUGGUCCACCUGUCCAUUGAAAGAAUCAAAGGCCAAAUAAUCUUUAUGAUAUGUGGAUACUAACAAAUAAUCAGGAGGGAGAAGGAAGUAUACACCCCUGCACCUGUGUAGACAUGGGACUGCUUCCCAGAAAUAGUCCCAGAGGACUUCAGAUCUUUUAGUAGCUGCCUCUUUGAGAAUCUUAGAGUAGGAAUUGAUGCAUAAAAUAACAAUGCUCAAAUUUACUCAUCAAUUAUCCCAAAAGUUACAAUAUUACUCUUCUAAAUUUAGAUUACUAGAAUUUCAUUGAACAUCCUAUGCAGGUUUAUAGUAUGGAAUUAAAAAAAAUGUGAGCAUUUUGUGAGCUUGUUGAGCACUUAUGGAAGUAAAUACAAUGCCUUGCUGUACCUUUUGAUCACCAGCACCCUGCAGAGUUGCUACAGGGUGUAAGCACUCCAUAAUCAGUGUUUCUUCACAAACCAUUAUCUGUAUAAAAGGGCUACUUUGAAAAUAGAAAAGAAUCAUUUGUUGAAACAUGAACCUAUAGACAUGAUGUAAAAGGGAGUUUUUUAAAAAGGAAUUUGGAGUCAUCAUCAGUGAUAGAGAAGACUGGCAGACUCCAGGUGUUACCUGAUCCAGGUCCAGGCUCCUCAUUACUGGAAAACCAGUAGUCAGGAGAUGUGAAUUAGUGGGAAAGAAAUCAGGUUUACUGAAGAUCCAGCACACUGGUAGAGGGAGGGUGCUGUCAUCCUCAUAGUGUCCUCUUGGGAAUCUCAGGGACACAAAGGAUUUUUGUAGGGAGAGAAAGAUGGGAUUGUGAGGCAGUGGGAGAGGUCUCUUUAAGCAGAACUUUUGUCAUUGAGGGUGUGUUUCCUUUUCUUUCUCUCUGAAUGGACCAUCACAAUGGAGCUUGACUUUCUGGGGCUAGUACCUAUACUUUCUUUGAAUCGACAUAUUUCAUUCUGCAUGCUAAAUGUCACAGAAAUUUGCUUGUUUUGUGUUGGUAUAUAGCUAAAAACUAAGAAGAGGCAUGACACAUUCUGAUUUUAUCUGAGAAUCACCAGAUGUUCUGGGUUUUGUAAAUCUAAAGGAACAUUAUACAGCAGUUCACAUCUUAAUCAAUUAGCCACAGCUUCUCUCCAAAAUUUAGAAACCAGGGUGCAAGAGAGGGUGUAACUCUGUGGGGGUGAACAGAGAGGGAAGCUGAAGUAACUACCUAGGACAGCUCCCAGUGGUGAUGUCCUUCCCACCUUUUUCAUUGAUUUUUUAUUAAUGAACCCAGAGGCACUUUACCAUACAACUGAACUUACAUAUUUUUAAUUUUAAAAACAUUUUUGUUCCAGUCUCUCAGUAAGUUGUUGAAACUUGCCUCAAAGUUGAGAUAUUCUGUCUCUGCCUACUGAAUAGAUGAGGUGACAAGUAUACACCACUGCACCUGCAUAAGGGUGGCAACUGUUACACAGAAACAGUCCUUAUUUUUAUUUUUAAUAUAUUGUUAUUAAAAUGUUUAAAAACUCACAAAAAUAUAAGUACAUGGAAUACCAUCCCACCCUUUUCUGUUAUCACACUGUUUAAAAGCUUAGCUCUAAAGUAUUAAAUGUGGAAGGAUAAUUCUUGACCAGGCCAGCAUAUGAUGAAAUAUACAGUAUAGAUUAAAAAAAAAACAAAAAACUUUUAAUUUAAAGAAAUGUACAUGCUUUUGAAUUUUUCUGAAAAUGAUCCUUUUUCAUAUGUACUUUAUUAUGGAUAGAAGAGGAACGAUGUAAAUGACAAGAAGAGCUCAUGGAAAAACAGGAGGUGAACUUUUAGCAGAUUCUGGAUGGGGAGCCAAGGUAAAUACAAAUGACAUUUAAUCUGAAUUCAGCAAGAAUUAAAAACUUUCUGCUUCCUGUAAGUAGGUUUACAUUACCAAGAGGCUGGACUGUGGUACCUGGAGUCUUCUGUACCAUCCUGGAUGACAUCACCUGCCAGCCCAACCCCAUCCUGGAAGGGCAUCCAGCAGCAGGUCGGGAAGGCUCUAGUGUGACCAGGGGGAUUGGGAGGUGUUUCAUUCUUUGUCAAAAGAAGUUCCAGGGAACCAGCACACUGUUGCUGAGGAAGGUUGGGGUGAGAAGGAGAUGGUGGAGGGGAGACCAUUGAAGCCUGUUCAGGGGUUCUGUGCAGAGCAGAGGAAGUGGAGUCUGGGUGUUUGUUGGGGGCAGCAGCUUUUCCAAGGUGAUAGCAUGCCAAGCUUUGGAACUGGGAAGGCUUCAGGGUGUGGGAAGCACACUUGGACUGGAAUAAAGGAGAGAUUACACAAUAAGUGUCCUGAAGCAGUGUCAUUUGAAGUCAAGGUUCAGAAUGUUAGCUGCCAGUCGUUGUGUUUCCUCAGAAGAAGAACUUGCAGGUUUUUAGUGCAGGUCUGUACUUCACCUCAUUAGUCUCAGGAGUGGUUAUUUUCAUCUUCACUGAUCGUCCAUCCCAGUUCAACUGAAUUGUAGCAGUCCACUCUUUUGAAUGCUAAAGAUUUCCACAUCCAUGCACAACUUACUGUUGCUGGAAACAUUUUCUGUACUUCUUUCUUGACUUUUAUUUGGUCUUUCCCAAUAAGCAGAGUAGUAGUCCAAUGUUGUUUAUUACCAUGGUCCCCAGUGUCCAUACAGACAUUUAGACCACUGUAGAUCCUUUUUGAAGUGCGUGAUGAGAUGACUUUGAGUCCAAAUAGAAUUCACACAUGUGCAAUUAAGUACUCAAAAGUAUUUUGAGCCUGAGGGGGACCAUGACAUUCUCAAGUAGGAAAGAAAAAAGGAUACUGCAGUAUGAUUCUUCAAGAUAUGUCUGAACAGAAAAGCAUUAUAUGUUGAGAAAAAAAUUAACUAUAUAUUGAGAUUUGUGUGUAUCUUUUCUAGGUAGAAGAAUCUAGAAUUGUUUUAAUUUAGCCUUGAUCUGUUAGUACUGUAAUAAUGGUGAGGACAUUGCCUUGCCUUUCCUUAUCUUUCUUGCUUCCAGUUUCCUUCUGCAUGUAAACUUAAAAAAAAAGUCAAGUGUGAGUGAAGUUCUUAUUUUCUCUCUCCUUCUUUUGUAAAUGAUGUUUAUAUUUUGACCAGUAGAAACUUAGAUGUACCAAAGUUGUACAUAUUCGUAGUAAUUAAAUAUUAACAUGGUUAUUUUAGCUCAUUCUGUUUGUGCUCAGUUUUGAUAAAUGUAUCCCUGUUGUCUGAAUGCUUAGUAACACAUUGUGGUUGGUAUUAGAAGUGUAUGGAAAUAGCAGCACCGUUGCAUCUGAUUCUUGGCCUGGUAGUUUUCAAGGUUUGCUUGCUGAGUAGGAGAAGUUUUACGAGCCUCAAGUCAGUGAAUUGGUUUCUUGUGAAGAGUAUUUCCUGAUAGGGUUGCACUCUAAAUUCCAUUUCUGUAUGACAGGUUGUGUUGAUGGGAUGGGACACCAAGUAUAAUGGGAAGAAUGGUGCUCCAAUGCUAAGAGAAUGACUCCUAGAAACAUCAGUUCUCACACUCAAACCAAGUGUGAUCUUGCAGGUGCUGGAGAGAGAAUCUGAGGUUGACCAUGAAUCAGUGGAUUGGAGACACUUGGACACCCUGCUUCAAGCUAGGAGGCACUGGUUUGCAGUUGAGCAGAAAGGCAGUGUGGGCUCUGGUUCAACAUCCACUUGGCAGACACCAUCACCAGUGCUUAAGGAUGGAAGAGAGCCCCCCAAUCUGGAUUCUGUUUGACUCCAGGGGAAUGACGCAAAUUGGGGGUUAGUUGUGGCCU